rnacentral:rRNA from 1 species
AUAAGUUAUGUAAGGGCGUAUGGGGGAUGCCUAGGCUCUCAGAGGCGAAGAAGGACGUGAUAAGCUGCGAAAAGUUGCGGGGAUUGGCACAUACGAGUUGAUCCGCAAAUAUCCGAAUGGGGCAACCCAGUAUAUUGAAGAUAUACUACAUCGCAAGAUGAGCGAACCCGCUGAACUGAAACAUCUAAGUAGGCGGAGGAGAAGAAAACAAAAGUGAUUCCCAAAGUAGUGGCGAGCGAAAUGGGAUUAGCCCAAACCCACUUUGUUACGGCAGAGUGGGGGUUGUAGGACCCAGAUAUAGGUUGUAAAGCUGGAUUAGAAGUGUUUGGAAAGACACACCAUAGAGAGUGAAAGUCUCGUAUAGGCACAGUUUUAUAAAUCUUAUGGGUAUCCUGAGUAGGUCGGGGCACGUGGAACCUUGACUGAAUCCGCCGGGACCAUCCGGUAAGGCUAAAUACUCCUGAGAGACCGAUAGUGAACCAGUACCGUGAGGGAAAGGUGAAAAGAACCCCGGGAGGGGAGUGAAAGAGAACCUGAAACCGUGUGCUUACAAGUAGUCAGAGCCCCUUGAGGGUGAUGGCGUGCCUUUUGUAGAAUGAACCGGCGAGUUACUUUAUCAUGCGAGGUUAAGUGGAAGACAUGGAGCCGAAGCGAAAGCGAGUCUUAAUAGGGCGAAAUAGUAUGAUGGAGUAGACCCGAAACCAAGUGAUCUACCCAUGGCCAGGUUGAAGUUUAGGUAACACUGAAUGGAGGACCGAACCAGGACACGUUGAAAAGUGUUUGGAUGAGCUGUGGGUAGCGGAGAAAUUCCAAUCGAACUUGGAAAUAGCUGGUUCUCUCCGAAAUAGCUUUAGGGCUAGCCUCGUUGUGAGUUUACUGGAGGUAGAGCACUGUUUGGACUAGGGGCCCAUCCCGGGUUACCGAAUUCAGACAAACUCCGAAUGCCAGAUAAAUAUCAACGGGAGUCAGACUGCGGGUGAUAAGGUUCGUAGUCGAAAGGGAAACAGCCCAGACCGCCAGCUAAGGUCCCAAAUUGUAUGUUAAGUGGAAAAGGAUGUGAUGAUGCACAGACAACCAGGAUGUUGGCUUAGAAGCAGCCACCAUUUAAAGAGUGCGUAAUAGCUCACUGGUCGAGAGACUCUGCGCCGAAAAUGUCCGGGGCUAAAGUGUAAAACCGAAGUCGUGUCAUAUGCAGCAAUGUAUAUGGGUAGGGGAGCGUUCUCAUCGGGCUGAAGCAGUACCGUAAGGAGUUGUGGACUGAUGAGAAGUGAGAAUGUCGGUAUGAGUAGCGAAAAGAAUGGUGAGAAUCCAUUCCACCGAAAGCCUAAGGGUUCCUGAGCAACGAUCGUCGUCUCAGGGUAAGUCGGGACCUAAGCCGAGGCGGAAAAGCGUAGGCGAUGGACAACAGGUUGAAAUUCCUGUACCGGUGUGAAUCGUUUGAUCGAUGGAGUGACACAGUAAGGUAGGUCAGCACGCGAUUGGAAGAGCGUGUUUAAGCAGGUAGGUUGAGCUAUAGGCAAAUCCGUAGCUCUAAAAGCUGAGAUGUGAUGACGAGUGACUAGCAAUAGUCGCGAAGUGAUUGAUCCUACACUGUCGAGAAAAGCUUCUAGGUAGAGACACAUCGCCCGUACCAAAACCGACACAGGUAGGCGGGGAGAGAAUCCUAAGGUGCGCGGGAAAACCCUCGUUAAGGAACUCGGCAAAAUGCAUCCGUAACUUCGGGAAAAGGAUGGCCGUAGCUGGUGAAGCUUUUUACAAGUGGAGCUGGAGACGGCGGCAGAAAAGAGGCCCAAGCGACUGUUUACCACAAACACAGGUGCCUGCGAAAGCGCAAGCUGAAGUAUAGGUGCUGACGCCUGCCCGGUGCAGGAAGGUUAAGGAGAGUUGUUAGUCUUUGGGAUGAAGCAGCGAACUGAAGCCCCUGUAAACGGCGGCCGUAACUAUAACGGUCCUAAGGUAGCGAAAUUCCUUGUCGGGU